AUUGAACGCUGGCGGCAUGCUUUACACAUGCAGGUCGAACGGUAGCAGGCCGCAAGGUGCUGACGAGUGGCGAACGGGGGCGUAAUGCAUCGGAACGUGCCCAGUCCUGGGGGAUAACUACUCGUAAGAGUAGCUAAUACCGCAUACGAUCUAUGGAUGAAAGCGGGGGACCGUAAGGCCUCGCGCGAUUUGAGCGGCCGAUGUCAGAUUAGGUAGUUGGUGGGGUAAAGGCUCACCAAGCCAACGAUCUGUAGCUGGUCUGAGAGGACGAUCAGCCACACUGGGACUGAGACACGGCCCAGACUCCUACGGGAGGCAGCAGUGGGGAAUUUUGGACAAUGGGCGCAAGCCUGAUCCAGCCAUGCCGCGUGCGGGAAGAAGGCCUUCGGGUUGUAAACUGCUUUUGUACGGAAAGAAAAGGCUCUGGUUAAUACCCCGCGCUACUGACGGUACCGUAAGAAUAAGCACCGGCUAACUACGUG
rnacentral:rRNA from 1 species